rnacentral:rRNA from 1 species
AGUACGUAGUUUGACUCGAGUGGCUACGAGGACGAACGCUGGCGGCGUGCCUAACACAUGCAAGUUGAAGGAUAGUGGCGGACGGGUGAGUAACGCGUGAGCAACCUGCCUUUGUGAGGGGGAUAACACAGGGAAACUUGUGCUAAUACCGCAUAAUGCAUAUUGAACUCAUGUUCGAUAUGUUAAAGGAGCAAUCCGCAUAAAGAUGGGCUCGCGUCUGAUUAGAUAGUUGGUGAGGUAACGGCUCACCAAGUCGACGAUCAGUAGCCGGACUGAGAGGUUGAACGGCCACAUUGGAACUGAGAUACGGUCCAGACUCCUACGGGAGGCAGCAGUGGGGAAUAUUGGGCAAUGGGCGAAAGCCUGACCCAGCGACGCCGCGUGAGGGAAGAAGGUCUUCGGAUUGUAAACCUUUGUUGACAGGGAAGAAGAAAGUGACGGUACCUGUAAAGAAAGCCACGGCUAACUACGUG